UACGAAGGGUGCAAACGUUGCUCGGAAUUAUUGGGCGUAAAGAGCGUGUAGGCGGCUUUGCAAGUCCGUUGUGAAAACUCGAGGCUCAACCUCGAGACGCCGGUGGAAACUGCAAAGCUAGAGUCCGGAAGAGGAGAGUGGAAUUCCUGGUGUAGCGGUGAAAUGCGCAGAUAUCAGGAAGAACACCCGUGGCGAAGGCGGCUCUCUGGGACGGUACUGACGCUGAGACGCGAAAGCGUGGGGAGCGAACAGG
rnacentral:rRNA from 1 species